rnacentral:tRNA from 1 species
GGCUCAUUAGUCUAUAGGUUAGGACGUCAGAUUUUCAUUCUGAAAAGAGGGGUUCAAUUCCCCUAUGAGCUA